rnacentral:misc_RNA from 1 species
CAGCGCGUUGAGAAUCGUUGGGCCAUGACCGAUGGAAGACUCGUGUGCACGGGGCCAUCGUUGGUGGUGUUCUAGUCACCGCUGUCUGCCACCAAAAGCCACCGCCACAUCACUCCUCCCGCUCAUCCCUCCCGCUUCCUCCUCCUGGACGGGGUAGAGACGAAGCUCAAGUCUCAGCAGUCAGUCGUCUUCUCAGCUCUGAACGGAGCACACACUGAACGGAGCUCCUCUCCCGAUCCGAAUGUGCUGUGACUGUUGAGUCAUCUUUACAUAAACGACGGCACGAGAGUUGUGAAGUUGCAAAAUGGUGUCCACUACGUGGUCUGUUGUGGUUCUAGUUGCAAUUCUUCUCCAACUCACCUGGUCCUCUCCGGUGCCGGACGAAAAUCAUCCGUUAUUGCGCAACAAACGUCAGGUACGCAACGGCAUUCGGUGUAUGAACAAUGGCAAAUUCUAUCGUAAUCCCGAUCGAGAAAAGGCCAAGAUGUGGUCAACUGGUGAAUGCGCCAAAUAUUAUCUUUGCAUUGAAAACGAAGUCUUUGAAUUCAAGUGCUCGACAGGUUUGCUAUUCGAUAUCGUCCGGCAGAUUUGCGACUUUAAAGCGAAAGUAGACAACUGCGACAUUAACACAGAGGCUGCUCUACCCAAACCGCUUCUCAAUACUCCGGAGCCAAUCUGCCCGAUUAAUGAGCUCGCUUGUGCUGAUGGAACGUGCCUUAACAGCGACUUAUUUUGUGACGGGCAUGCCGACUGUGUGGACGGCAGUGACGAAGGAUGGUGCGAUGCGGAGAAUGAUCCAAAUGCAGCCGCUCGUUGCGACUACGCCAACUGUACAUUGCCCAACUGUUUCUGCAGUGUUGAUGGAACACUCAUUCCAGGCAAUCUCGAAGUUAAUCAGGUGCCACAGAUGAUUACCAUCACGUUUGACGAUGCCGUUAACGGCGAAAAUUGGGACUUGUACCUCAACAAACUUUUUAUUCCGGAACGUAAAAACCCCAAUGGAUGUCCUAUCCACGCAACGUUCUACAUCAGUCACGAGUACAAUAAUUAUCAGCAUGUCCAGAAGCUAUGGAAUGCCGGACACGAAAUUGCGGCCCAUUCCAUUACGCAUCGACAUCCAGAAAAUUGGUGGUCGACUAACGCGACGAUUGAGGACUGGUUCGAUGAAAUGGUGGGCCAAGCCAAUAUUAUUAACCGGUUUGCUGGAGUGCAUAUGGAGGACAUCCGCGGUAUUCGCGUUCCAUUUUUGCGAGUCGGCUGGAACCGCCAAUUUCUCAUGAUGAAAGAAUUCGGCUUCGUCUACGACGCCAGCAUGGCCGCACCUCUCAGCGAUCCGCCUUUGUGGCCUUAUACGCUGGACUACAAGAUGCCGCACACUUGCGUCGGCACCGGACAGCGAUGCCCUAGCCGCAGUUUUCCCGGCAUCUGGGAAAUGGUUCUUAACCAAUUGGAAGUCGAGGAGUACUCUUGCGCCAUGGUGGAUUCAUGUCCGUCUCACGGGUCCGAAGAUGAAGUUUACGAGAUGUUGAUGCACAAUUUCAGGCGACACUACAACUCGAAUCGCGCACCGUUCGGUCUCUACUUCCACACCAUUUGGUUUAAGAAGCGCAUUAACUUGCGUGCCUUCCAGCGAUUUCUCGAGGAUAUGGUACGCAUGCCAGAAGUUUGGAUCGUCAACAAUUGGGAAGCGAUCCAGUGGAUGCAAAAACCAACGCCCAUCAAUGCGUUGAGUCAAUUCGAUCCAUGGAAAUGUAAACCCCAGGUUCCACCCGAGGACAAAGCUUGCAACAUCGGCCGUGCCUGUAAACUGCAAUCACGCGCUCUGAGAGGUGAUCGUUAUCUUCACACUUGCACGGAAUGUCCUCAAGUGUAUCCAUGGAUCAAAAACGAAUUUGGUUUGGACAUUUAAAAAACAACGAGCAACUCCAUUGUCCAGCCAACUUCACUCCAUCUAAAUCAUGGCAAUAUUCUUUACCUUCCAUAGUCAUUUAAAAUAAGUAUUCAUGAACUCUAACAAGUAUUUGUUUGAAUGGGAACGGUGUAUGAUGGCUGACGUAUCACAAGUCAUCAAAUCUUCCGUUCUUUUUCCCCAAAAGUAUUUCAUCACAUCGCUCCUUUUAUGAAAUCGCCAGUAUUUAUUCGGACGGUGCUGGUUCGCCGAUCCAGUCCUAUGCAAAUUGUUUAUUUUCCUCCUCCGUUGACAGCGCGCUCCUUUCUCAUGGCACGUUUGAUACGUUCUGGCACUUACUUGUGCGUGAUCGUUGACGGAGCAAAUGACAUUUAACGAGAUGACAAUGAGACUUAAUUUAUUUCGACUUGACUUCAACCCAAAACUGCUUGACGAGACAUUGACGGCAAUUCUACUCUUUUAAAGACGUUUCAUUUUUUUUUUUUUUUGUUCUAAUUCCCCCACUAUUCAAAAGGGAGAAUGGCUUCAAGCAUGAUUGGGUUUGCAGCUUCCUGUUAUUCAAGUGAUACCGAUGUUUUUGUUUCACUUUGUUCGAGCGAGAGACCGAUACUGCUGGUCUACUGAGACCGAAAGACUUUUGACGUGGACGAAUCGACGCUUUGACAGAUUCUUAGAACGACAGAUUAUUUUUUUUUUUUGCUCUCGACACAGACAACUUCUAACAACCGUUUUUCAAACAGCAAUUCAUUCUACCUUAUCCAACGGGUCACGAGGUAUUUUAUGUGUUUUACUAUUCUUAGCUGUGACGUUUCACUCUUUUUACUGGUACCUGACGAAAAAUACUCUCGCUGACCUUUAUUUUCAAUCAAAAUGACGACAAAAAAAACAAAAAAAAAAAACAAAAAAAUCUACGUGACUCUCGAAAGACUUGACGCCAUAAAGACUUGGAACUUUCUUGGACUUUCCUGACUACUCUAACUUGACUUUGACGAUACUCGAGACAGACUUGGUGAUGGAUAAACUGUGUGACUUUUGCUAGUUAUUCAUUUCUCGCUUUACGUUGACGAAAGACAACCACUACUAUGUUGAACUACGUUCGUGACUCAAGACAGACGACAUAACGAUUAAAAAAAAAAAAAAACGACAAAAAAAAAACGACAAAAUUACUUGAUGACCGGAUGACUAGCCAGUUGUAACGUCUCGACGAUGCGACUCCUUCGGAACAACUCCCACCGCUUGUCUGCUUCUUUUGUUUUAACCGACUGACUGCCCUUCUAAUGAACAAAAAAAAACUGUGAAACAAAUGAAAAACAGACGAAAUUUACUGUGACAUCUCGUACAGACUUACAGAAAAUACAAAAUACUCUUUACCCAA